rnacentral:rRNA from 1 species
AGAGUUUGAUCCUGGCUCAGGACGAACGCUGGCGGCGCGCCUAACACAUGCAAGUCGAACGAGAGAGAAGGAGCUUGCUUCUUCGAUCGAGUGGCGAACGGGUGAGUAACGCGUGAGGAACCUGCCUCAAAGAGGGGGACAACAGUUGGAAACGACUGCUAAUACCGCAUAAGCCCACGGGUCGGCAUCGACCUGAGGGAAAAGGAGCAAUCCGCUUUGAGAUGGCCUCGCGUCCGAUUAGCUAGUUGGUGAGGUAAUGGCCCACCAAGGCGACGAUCGGUAGCCGGACUGAGAGGUUGAACGGCCACAUUGGGACUGAGACACGGCCCAGACUCCUACGGGAGGCAGCAGUGGGGAAUAUUGCACAAUGGGGGAAACCCUGAUGCAGCGACGCCGCGUGGAGGAAGAAGGUCUUCGGAUUGUAAACUCCUGUUGUUGAGGAAGAUAAUGACGGUACUCAACAAGGAAGUGACGGCUAACUACGUGCCAGCAGCCGCGGUAAAACGUAGGUCACAAGCGUUGUCCGGAAUUACUGGGUGUAAAGGGAGCGCAGGCGGGAAGACAAGUUGGAAGUGAAAUCUAUGGGCUCAACCCAUAAACUGCUUUCAAAACUGUUUUUCUUGAGUAGUGCAGAGGUAGGCGGAAUUCCCGGUGUAGCGGUGGAAUGCGUAGAUAUCGGGAGGAACACCAGUGGCGAAGGCGGCCUACUGGGCACCAACUGACGCUGAGGCUCGAAAGUGUGGGUAGCAAACAGGAUUAGAUACCCUGGUAGUCCACACCGUAAACGAUGAUUACUAGGUGUUGGAGGAUUGACCCCUUCAGUGCCGCAGUUAACACAAUAAGUAAUCCACCUGGGGAGUACGACCGCAAGGUUGAAACUCAAAGGAAUUGACGGGGGCCCGCACAAGCAGUGGAGUAUGUGGUUUAAUUCGACGCAACGCGAAGAACCUUACCAAGUCUUGACAUCCCUUGACGAACAUAGAAAUAUGUUUUCUCUUCGGAGCAAGGAGACAGGUGGUGCAUGGUUGUCGUCAGCUCGUGUCGUGAGAUGUUGGGUUAAGUC